UCUCUCUCGUUAACUCCCUUUCCCACCUCAUUUUUGCUCUGGCCAAUUACAUUCACUACUACUGAGCCACCCAGACCAGACACAUGGCGAUCGGUGAUAGCCAUGAAUAAUGACCAAAUAUGUAGCAGCGACGUGAAAUGGAGAAGAGAGAGAGAGAAAGGGACGUGCGCGGUAGCCAACUUCAAGCGCUCAUUCCAGUGUCGUUCGACAUCGGAUGGAUGCGAUUCUAGUGUCGUUAGAAUCCUCAUUCCAUGAGCUUUCUUUUGGGACCAAUUUCGCUUCAAAUGGUGGUCGGAGGAAAAAGUUAUGGAGGAGAGAAGUUUCAUAAUUUUUAAGCUUUCAGAUCAGAUCUAGGACGAUCUGACUGUUGGAUUGAUGAUCCGGGACUACCUUUGAACGUAGAGCGACGAAAACUUCGAGAUGGAACCAACCUCACUUUGAUAGGACACCGUUUAAAAAAGGCGAUCAUUAAACGAUCCAAAUCACUUGUUGAGAUUUUUCACCCUUUUUGAUGCUCAUAAAUUAAAUAUAAUUACAUAAUAAUUAUUAACAAUUUUUGGACUUCGUUUAGGUGCGAUCGGAUCGGCGAUAGCUCACUAGCACUCGGGAUCGAGUUUUUAGCCUAGUUCGAGUGUCCGGUGGGCUGUCCAAGAAAAGGGUCGUGCUUACAAUUGUUCCUAGCAUUUUUAGGAAUUUCUGACGUAUUCCAGAUAGUAGAAUUUGCAAAGGUGAUCGGUGCCAGCCGUCUUCUCCUUCCAGCUGGAUCAGCUGUUGUCCAGUCGACCAGUCUGUGAGUUGGAAUUGAUUAUUUUUAUAAUUUCAAUAUUAAUUAUAUACCUAACAUGCUCAUGCAUUAUAUAAAUAAUUAAUUAUGCACAUAAAUAGUUAAUAUAUUAGGGGCAUUUUGGUUGCUGCAUAUUUAAUUAUUGUUAUUUAUCUAUGAUUGUAGCCCUAAGGAUAAUUUAGAGCUUUGUGUGUGUGUUGGCGUGAGUUUGGUGUGGAUAUGAACAUGAGUAGGACAAGUAGUCAUAGCUGGAGCUUAACUCACUGGGAUCAGAUCCUUGUAUAUAGAUAAGUCAGGGUGAGUAUGGCUUUGAGUUGAUCUCGCUGACCCCCGCACUUGGAUUAUUAAGCGAAAGUCCAGCUUGAGUUAACCUCGCUGGCAACUCUUGAAUUAAGAGAGCUGUACAGGAGAUUAGCUCUCAUAUAUUUAUUGAUGUGAUUCACUGGAUGUGUGAAUAGCUCCAAAUUAAGUUUUCGUGCAAAUAUUGAAUGAAUUAUUAUUAUAUGUGAUGGAUGUGUAUUUCAUGGUAGGAUUGCACUAGUUUUAGAUAGUUAUAAAAAUUACACUUAUAAUCAAUAUUUAAAUUCUCUGAGUCGAACGCUCAUUCCUGUUUAAAUAUUUUUCUCAGGUUGCAGGAGGAGCGAGUUUAUUUUUUCGAAUCUAAUCUGCAUUUUUCCUCUGCAGGUUGUUUUUCUUAGUUUAAUAUUUUAUUGUGUCUAUUUGUUAUUUAUUUGUUUAAUUACUAGAACUCCACUGUGGCAUUGGUUAUGAAUAUAUUGUCUUAUUUAAUGAAAAAAAAAAUUAUGAUAUGAGAUGAUUUGUACAUGUUGUAGGUCAGGGCUGAGUUAGACUUUCUUAGUAGGGAAUUUCUGAUAGAUAUUGGGUUGAGUUAGUCCAAGUAAAUUUAUAGUAUUUUAUUUUAUUCCAAUAUGCAUGUUGGGCCUUGAUUUUGGUUUUGGUUAUGAGUUUAGGAAUAAUGAGAGUUACUACAUGUCUUGAGGGUUUUAUGCUAGCCCAGGUGCUAGUAUCGGUCCGACUUGUGGAAUCGGGUCAUGACAUUAACGUUCUUAAUAAAAAAAAAUAUACUCUAACAUUCUCAAUUCUACCCUAAAAUUUUAUCUAGUUAUGUUGCAAGAGUUAUCAUAUUGACAUUGAAAAUUUAAUAUAAAAGUUAUUUAUAAAGAGCAAUAUGUACAUUUUUUUUUGUAAGGAAGAAAGGACUUGAAGAUGACAUUAAAAAGUUGAGGGGUAAAUUAUAAGAAAUAAGUACUAAAUUGAAACAAAUAAAAAAGUUUUGGGGUAGAAUGUAUAAGGGAGAUUAGGACCAUUGGAUAAAAACUUGUUUUAAUUAUUGGAUAAAAGAAGAUUUGGCCUUAUCUACCUCACCAUUCUGCUGCCCCAAUUGAAACCCUAUUCUCCCAUUUUUCUUUCAUUCUACCAUAGCCAAACUCUCCCAAAUUGAAGAAGAAGAAGACCUAGAAUAUUAAUCUAGCUUAUUUCUACCUUAAACAUCAUCAAUUCAAGCCUUAGGAAGAAGAAGAAAACCAGCUUUUGAAGAAGUUGAAGGUAGGUAUCUCCUUCUAGGAUUUUGAGUGGAAGAGUUAAAGAGAAGUGGAAUUAAGUGAUUCUACUAGAGGUUAGUGCUUAAACUCAUCCUUAUUGCCAUAUUUAUAUGUGUGAUUUCUUGUUAUUUGCUAAUUAGAUGAAAUUAGGGUUUGAGAGAUUGAAAUUUGAAAUCUGUGUUGGGUGAGGCUGCAGGAUAGCCACUUCCAAAAAUUCAUAACUUGAGCUAGGAAAGUCGAAAUGAGGUGAUUCUUGUGGAAAAUGAAACUUUGAAGAGUACCCUAAAACUUUGUAGUUUAGUGUUGGCCUUAAUUUUGAUGAUAGAAUAGAGUUUGAAGCCAAAAUAUUUAAUUGCUCAAUUAUAGAACUAUUAUGGCAGAUUCCAGAAAUAGGGGACCCAAAUUUAAAAAUACAUAACUUGAGCUAGAAAACUAUAAAAAGGGUGAUUUUUAUGGCUUUGGAAAGAUUAAAGAGAGCUUUAAAACUUUGUAGUUAUGGUCAGGAAUUAAUUUUGCUGUUUUCCUAUUGGAAUUUAUACUUUUCUGUUGCUGUACAUGCUAAAACAGAUUUCUGGACAGCUUGUAUACUUUUGCUUAUAUCUUGAGUUGUAAAAUAUAUUUUUACAUGAUUCCAAUUGGAAAUCAAAAUAGACAUAUGAAAGUUGAUUUCUGAAAAAUUUGGCAUUAAAAUUCUGUCUCUAUAAAUUUUGGUGGAAUUUUGAAUAUUACUGUUCACAUGGCCAAUUUUCUGCAGAAAGUGAUUUUUAAGCUACACACUUCUCAUGUAGGUUUGUUUGAGUAUUUCGCAUCAAAUUGUGGAAUAAACUUUGUUUGAAAUGAAUUAAGUUAAAUUUUGGCUAUGUAUGACAAAUAUGAGCAUAUGAAAUAAGUACAUGAACUUAAUAAUUGUAAAAGAAUAUAAUAUGUAUUCUUAGUCCUAGUAAAUUUCGGUAGAGGUUGUAGGUUAGUAUAAGGUGUGGCAUGCCAUAUAACUUAGAAGUACUGCAACCACAAAAUACAUGAUAUUGGCACAUGGUGCCCUACAGUUCUUGGCUUUUGAGCCCAACAGUUCUGGCACUCCGUGCCCUACAGUUAUAGUUUUUCCUUAUCUAGCUAAGCGAUCCUGCUAAGAUUUUAUAGGGGUUGAGAUAUAAGUAAUAUGAUAUAAAUUGAUUAAUAUUUGUCAUAUGAUACAUUUUCUUUAUCUCUUUACAUCUUGUUCAUGAAUAUGUAUGGCUGUUAACAUUAUAGAAAUUGUUGUUUCAAUCUGCAUAUUAGUUUUAUGCUUGCAUAUUUUUCUUUUAUGGAUGCGUUUAGCACCACUAAGCAUAAGCUUAGUGCGUUGGAUUUUCUUGCGCAUUGGAUUUUCCUACAUGCAGAUAGCAGAGAGCAGCCGCCAGUAGAGGAGCCACAGUAGUUUGCAUCAGCUGUGAAGCACAUAAGACAUUUUGAAAUUUUCUCUUCCAUUAAACCUAGGAAAAGUUGUAAAAUGUUGGCAUGUACAUUAGAAAUAGUUGAUGUAAUCAAGUAAAUCAUUUUGUAUCAAACUUCUUAUCUUUUAUGUAAUUUAUAAUGGUUAUUGUAAACUUUAUCUUUUUAAUGAUUUAUUUUUAUUA